rnacentral:rRNA from 1 species
GACGAACGCUGGCGGCGUGCUUAACACAUGCAAGUCGAACGGAAAGGCCCCUUUGGGGGUACUCGAGUGGCGAACGGGUGAGUAACACGUGAGUAACCUGCCCUUGACUUCGGGAUAACUUCAGGAAACUGGGGCUAAUACCGAAUAGGAAUCCUUGCUGCAUGGUGGGGGUUGGAAAGCUUCGGCGGUUUUGGAUGGACUCGCGGCUUAUCAGCUUGUUGGUGGGGUAGUGGCUUACCAAGGCUUUGACGGGUAGCCGGCCUGAGAGGGCGACCGGCCACAUUGGGACUGAGAUACGGCCCAGACUCCUACGGGAGGCAGCAGUGGGGAAUAUUGCACAAUGGGCGGAAGCCUGAUGCAGCAACGCCGCGUGCGGGAUGACGGCCUUCGGGUUGUAAACCGCUUUCAGCAGGGGCGAAGCUUGUGGUGACGGUACCUGCAGAAGAAGCACCGGCUAACUACGUG